rnacentral:rRNA from 1 species
UAAGGAAUAUUGGUCAAUGGGCGGAAGCCUGAACCAGCCAUGCCGCGUGCAGGAAGACGGCCCUACGGGUUGUAAACUGCUUUUGCAGGGGAAUAAACCCCAGUAUGUAUACGGAGUUGAAUGUACCUUGAGAAUAAGGAUCGGCUAACUCCGUGCCAGCAGCCGCGGUAAUACGGAGGAUCCGAGCGUUAUCCGGAUUUAUUGGGUUUAAAGGGUGCGUAGGUGGCCUGUUAAGUCAGGGGUGAAAGACGGUAGCUCAACUAUCGCAGUGCCCUUGAUACUGAUGGGCUUGAAUGAACUAGAGGUAGGCGGAAUGUGACAAGUAGCGGUGAAAUGCAUAGAUAUGUCACAGAACACCAAUUGCGAAGGCAGCUUACUAUGGUUUGAUUGACACUGAGGCACGAAAGCGUGGGGAUCAAACAGGAUUAGAUACCCCUGUAGUCC